rnacentral:rRNA from 1 species
GAUGAACGCUGGCGGCGUGCUUAACACAUGCAAGUCGAACGGACAGGCGCGGAUCUUGCUGCGCGCACGUGAGGCGCGGGCGUGUGAAACACGCGUGGAUAACCCACCUAUAUGACUGAUAUCACGACGAAACACGGGAUAUAAUACCAUAGAAUCUAUUGAACCGCGGGGUUCAAUGGUGAAUGUCGGUUUUGCGGUCUCUUCUAGAGGUAUCCGAGCUGCAUUAGCUAGUUGGUAGGGUAACGGCUUUCCACGGCGAGGAUGCGUAGCCGACCUGAGAGGGGGAUCGGCCACACGGGAACUGAGACACGGUCCAGAGUCCUACGGGAGGCAGCAGUAGGGAAUGUUGGGCAAUGGGCGGAAGCUUGACGGAGCAACGCCGCGCGAGUGAUGAAGGCCUUCGGAUCGGAAAACUCUGUUAUGGGGGAAGAACAAAUGUGUACGUAACCAAGCACGGAGUGACGGUACCGGAUAAAAAAGCACCGGCUAACUACGUG